rnacentral:lncRNA from 1 species
AUUAGACAUCUAUGAUGCCUCAGGUCAAAGGACUACUUUGCAUAUUGCAACUAUCGAGUUCUUACGUGACAUGUAUGUUCGAACUCUCUUUUGAUCGUUGUUCAGUGUACUCGAUUACUCUUUCGAGCACCUAUGUGUUUGUCUUAGUGUCCAACACUAAAUGACUUGAGACUAGUCAUACUCACGCUUGAGUCGAUAUAACACAUACUAACCUUAGCGGAUUGUCAAUGCCCAAUUGGCAAUCCUAUGGCUAGGAACGUUUUAGGAAUGAACAUAAGAGAAAGGUCUCGUUAAUCUAACUUACUUAAAUCACUUAUCUCUUAGAUCAAAUACAUUCCUUGGAUUCCCUUAUUGCUUAAACACAUGAUACAAUAAAUAGUGAUUAACAAUAAGCUUUGCCCUUCAUUAAACAUAUAAAAGUUUAAUACAUUAAGUAUUCCAAAAGCUAUUUACAUCAAAUGAGUGGCUUUGUGGGCAUACUUCCAACACUUUGCAUUUCCGGAAACUUGUACUAAUGGGAUACGACUAGCUUCUACUUCUUUCUUCACAACUUGGCUUAAGCCAAGGGCUUACAAUUCUUAGACUUGUGUACUUUGUAAGUUUAUACAUGGAGUAAUUAGGUUCACAUCCUUCUUUUUGUUACUUCAUUGAUUAAAAUCCUAUUCAUUUUUAAUUUUUGAUCAAGGUCCUUGUGACACACCCCAAUCCUAGAAUCAAGGCAUGCUGGCUGUCACGUGAGCGUGACGUAACCAUAAGUGCGGUGCGGAAGCAAAAUAAGAGAAUUACGAAAGAAUAAAAACCAACUACUAGCAAGAAUAACCAAAAGCAUGCUAGAGAGAGAGAGAGUUAAAGUGUGCAACACACAAUUUCAGAGCAUAAGCAACUAGGUGCAGUCAAGUAGGACUAUAAUUAAGUUACAACACCCGCAGGUGAGUCCUACAUUAGGAGAGUCUGUCAGAACACCGAAGAAAGCCUCGUGAGCCACCAACUGCUAACUAGAACCUGGAGGGGCACAAAACAAAAUUGAGUGGGUCAGUAAAACAAAACUUUGCGAAAACCUUUCAUUUAAAACAUUUCUAACCCCUCGCUGUAAAACCUGUAUACUUUCCCAGAAAAUAGCAUACUAGCAUAAUACUUUUCAUUUAUCUCAAAUCGUCAAUCUUUCUUAAAAACCAGAAAGUAUGCCAUGUUAAAAACUUUCAAAAACAGAAUGAAUGAUGCAUCAAUGUAACAGGUGAAAUAAUGAAUUAACUGGAGACCCUACAGUUGAUCCUGUACGGUUAAUUCUAUAGCUCAACAUCAAAUCCAUCCGGAGUCACCUCGGUGACCUGUACGGCACUACACUGCAUAUACAUCGAAACUACCUGAAGUAGUCUGUACGAUAAGGAUGGUGUAAUAAUAAUACGCUCUAGUGCUUCUCUCAUCAAACAUCUGUGUACACAAUCUAAGGUCACCUAUCAGUUGGAACCCUCUCAUGGUCUGUACGACAUGUCGGAACCUUCUCAUGGUCUGUACGACAUGCACCUACUUGGAUCCAAGGUGAGCGUGCGGUGCGAGGUGAAUAAUAUAAGCACUAACACCAUGAUUGCAGGUUAUGAGCUAUCAACAUAAUACAUAUCAACAAUGCACAUGAAUAACAUAAACUCACCUGAUACUCACCUGUGCGUCCACAACACCAAUUCACAUAUAUAUGCAUCAAUUAUCAAUUCAUAUAACUUAUAUCAUGCAUGCAUGGCAUUUGAAAACGUAUUUUCCUUCAAACUCAAUUUCUGGGAAACAUAUCAAUAGUAUAUAGGUAUAAACAGAAAUACUGCCCACUCACUGAUAAGUCGAAGGGUCGUAACCCCCGUGACGUCCCUGGAUGCGCUCGUCCUCGGGAUAGGUGUCACCUAUAUGCGAAAUAACUAUAAAAACGUUAUUUUAAAGCAUAUAAUCAACAAUUCGUAAUAACUUCUCAUACGGUGCUCAAAUUGGGUAUAUGAAUAUACCACAGUGACCUACUUGACGUCACGGACGUCGACAUAUUUUUAAAAUA